rnacentral:lncRNA from 1 species
CUUUUAUGUGGCUCCUAGUGACCUUGGUCAACACAGGAAGGAAUCCUAGUUGCUGAGCAGCUCCCUGUACAGACUGAGACAAGGUUGGACUCUUUUUAGAGUCUUGUGGGGCCAGUCUCCAAAAUGACUACAUCAUGGAGCAGCUUUCUCAGAGCUCUUAUUCACUGAUAGCAAAGGAAAGUGUAUGCUGCAAAAGAGUGACUGUACCUUCAUAUACUUAGAUGAUCAGGUUAAAAAUGUGCGUGUGACACAAAUGGCAUUGAGAUAGGAGAGGAAGGCCUUUAUCUCUCACAAAGAUAAAUGAAGAGGGCAGGUGCUAUUUCUUCCCCUCGUCCAGCUGUGAGACAUUGCUGCACAAGGUUGUGAUGCCUGAAGAUGUGGCAUCCAACUUGAAACAGUCAGGCACCUAUCCGAGAAUAAGCAAGCAUGAGGACUGCUGGUCAAGAAGACAGAAGAGAUCUCUGGAUUCUUGAUGAGCCUUCUGCAUAUUCUGUGUAUCCCAGUGACCCAGAGACAACAUAGAACUUUGAAAAUCCAGGCUUUCACAGAAAACAACCAUCAGCUCUCUAUUUUGUUAUCAAAAUGCUGGCUUUGAGAAUUAAUUUUAAAGGAAGAUUACUAGCCUGAUUUCCAGGUGAAAGAGAGAUUCUGUAAGAUAAUUUUUUGUUUGUUUGUUUUACAGUGUUUUCUCUUGGACUAAAAGAAAAAACAUCCUCAAUUGUAUCUUUGGAUCAAUAUACAUAGCAUUAGAGGGCUAGGUACAUAAUCCUCCAUUACAAUUAAUACCACAAAGUAUUUGCUAAUAGAACAAAUUGCCUGUAUUAACUGUAACAUACCCUGUAGAAUUAAUGCAUGCAUAAAUAAAUGAUUAGUUUUCUAAAUCCUAAUAUUUUUACAGCUCUGAGAUUCUAUGAUUUCAAAGUUUCUAAGUAUUCACUAAACUCUAUACUAACAAACUUUGCUUUUAUUUCUGCUAUUGCAAAAAUUUAGCCAAGAUAUGGGAAAAUAUGUCAAUGACAACAAAAAAAAUUGAUGGAGGCUGCAGUGAAAGAUUAUUUAACAAUAUUUCUUCUUGUAUGCAGUCAAAAAAAGACUGUCCUUUUUGGAGCAUAUUCCCCUAAAUACCUUACAAUCACCUCAAUCUCUUACUCCCAUACUUUAUUUUUCUAGCCUCUCCAUCUCAUCCUUGUUUUGGAUUAGAAUGAGCUAAAACAGUUUACUGGCCCAGUUUAUAUUUUAGACAGGCACAGCUACUUGGAGAUAAUUGUGACAUGCUUUUCUCUUCUCAUAUUGCUUCUCUUUAAGGAACUUACAGAUCCUGUGCCCACAUUUACAUAUGAAUAGUUUCAUUUUAAGCCAUAUCCUUGCCAAAGUUUAUUGAGAAUGUUGGUAAAAAAACCCCACUUUUACAGAGAUAUUUUUCUUUAAAAACUGGAC